UACGGAGGGUGCAAGCGUUAUCCGGAUUUACUGGGUUUAAAGGGUGCGCAGGCGGAUAUGUAAGUCAGUGGUGAAAUCUCUGGGCUUAACCUGGAAAUUGCCGUUGAUACUAUAUAUCUUGAAUGCUGUGGAGGUAAGCGGAAUAUGUCAUGUAGCGGUGAAAUGCUUAGAGAUGACAUAGAACACCUAUUGCGAAGGCAGCUUACUACGCAGAUAUUGACGCUCAUGCACGAAAGCGUGGGGAUCAAACAGG
rnacentral:rRNA from 1 species